rnacentral:lncRNA from 1 species
GCUCCUGUUCCCCCUUCUUCUUCCCUCCAGCCUCUUGGUGUAGCUGAAGUGGCCACUCGUCUUUCUUCUGUCCAUCUUGGCCAGCCUGGGAAGGAACCUGAGGAAGCCAAGGACCUGAACUCUUGUAGUACUAAGGGUGAUUGUUCACCUACUGACCUCAGGCCAAAACAGCUGGAGCCUGAAGAUUCAGAAGAUGAACUGGGAGAUGGUUUGGAAGACAGCUGCAGUCAUGAUGAGAAUGAAGAAGAGGAAGGAGACUCAGAGUGCUCUUCUUUGAGCGUUGUGUCCCCCAGCGAGUCGGUGGCAAUAAUAUCUCGGAACUGUGUGGAUUUGAUGUCCAAAUCUAUUUCAAAUCAUGAGAAAGUUGUGCGGCCAGCCCUCAUCUACAGUCUCUUCCCCAACGUAUCCCCUACCAUC